GACGUAGGGCGCGAGCGUUGUCCGGAUUUAUUGGGCGUAAAGAGCUCGUAGGCGGCUUGUCGCGUCGAAUGUGAAAUCUCAGGGCUCAACUCUGACAUUGCAUUCGAUACGGGCAGGCUAGAGUUCGGUAGGGGAGACUGGAAUUCCUGGUGUAGCGGUGAAAUGCGCAGAUAUCAGGAGGAACACCGGUGGCGAAGGCGGGUCUCUGGACAUUUCCUGACGCUGAGGCACGAAAGCCAGGGGAGCAAACGGG
rnacentral:rRNA from 1 species